rnacentral:rRNA from 1 species
CCUACGGGAGGCAGCAGUGAGGAAUAUUGGUCAAUGGACGAGAGUCUGAACCAGCCAAGUAGCGUGAAGGAUGACUGCCCUAUGGGUUGUAAACUUCUUUUAUAUGGGAAUAAAAUGUUCCACGUGUGGGAUUUUGUAUGUACCAUAUGAAUAAGGAUCGGCUAACUCCGUGCCAGCAGCCGCGGUAAUACGGAGGAUCCGAGCGUUAUCCGGAUUUAUUGGGUUUAAAGGGAGCGUAGGUGGAUUGUUAAGUCAGUUGUGAAAGUUUGCGUCUCAACCGUAAAAUUGCAGUUGAAACUGGCAGUCUUGAGGACAGUAGAGGUGGGCGGAAUUCGUGGUGUAGCGGUGAAAUGCUUAGAUAUCACGAAGAACUCCGAUUGCGAAGGCAGUUCACUGGACUGCAACUGACACUGAGGCUCGAAAGUGUGGGUAUCAAACAGGAUUAGAUACCCUUGUAGUC